CCUGUGCUGGAGGGCCCGAUGAACUGCUUCAAAAGCAAAAUGGGAGCAAACAGCAAAGCAGCACAGAAAGAGGAGCUGCAGCAGUCCCUGGUCUGUAGGUGCUGCUGUGUUUCCCUUUGCAGGAAAAUGCUGAGUUUAUGCUGGGUUCAGCAAUCCUGAUGUCUGCACAGCUGAGAGAAAUCACUUCACUGUGAGUGUGAUUGUGCCUCUGCAGCUUUGACAAGCCUCUCACCUGCCCUGGGGAAGGAACAGCAGGGCUGGAAAGCUGUGGAGUCACAAUAUGCUGACUAAGGUGGACACCGUGUCUCCUCCAGCUUAAUGCUGCAAUGAUGUCCUGAAGUUUCCAGCUUGCUGAGACCUUCAUGGCCCCUUCUGCUGACUCAGGUGCUUCU